rnacentral:rRNA from 1 species
GACCGGAUGCGGAUCUCGAAAGCCUGUCCCAGUUCGGACUGGAGUCUGCAACCCGACUCCACGAAGUUGGAUCCGCUAGUAAUCGCGCAUCAGCCAUGGCGCGGUGAAUACGUUCCCGGGCCUUGUACACACCGCCCGUCAAGCCAUGGGAGCCGGGGGCGCCUGAAGUCCGGGACCGCGAGGACCGGCCUAGGGCGAAACUGGUAACUGGGGCUAAGUCGUAACAAGGUAUC